rnacentral:lncRNA from 1 species
UGUUAGGAGGAGAGAAAGAGGGGGAGAAAACAACAAUACUGCAAUGAUCCAAAUGAUACAGUAGAAUUAUAGCAAUUAUAGUUCUACUUGUGGAAGAAAACCUUGCUGAGAUCAAGCAAACAAACUGAAGCCUUGUGAGGAUAACAAGCCUCGCGAUUGACAGCAGGUGCUGGGAAGAGCGGGAGGGCACAAACAGAAAUAUUUGCCUCCCCAACCCCCCUUAACUCCAACCAGUAAAGGUUAACCUUCUCAAACGCUGCUUUCAGUCUUAUUCUCUUCCAGCUAUGACAUUUUAUGCACAAAUCCUGGUUUCUCCUCCUGGAAGUCUGGUAAUAGAAGGAAAUGUGACAUAAUCCGCUUGCCUAGAACUUGCCCUCACCGUCUCUGCCCCCCAGUUUACUCUUCACUUCCUACCCUUGCCUCACUUCUCCCCAGGCUGCUGAGAUCCGUCUGUGGACCGGGUUUGUUGAUGUGCUUUCAAAGGAGCCGCCCGGGAGAAGUGCAAACGGGUAACUUGGAUUUCCUGGGAAGACUACAUCGCGUUUGCUUCCCCCUUGCCUGUGUCCUCUGCCUAAGCUGUGCUUUUCUCUUAUUAGGGCUCAGCAGGGAGAGGGUCUUUUCCCCCUUCUGUUUUGGAAGGAUCGCAUUGGAUCUCAGCCGAGCCCUCAAGGUUCCCAGAUCCCAGAGGGAAACUUCUCAGCCCCUUAAUCGCCGCCAUCUGCUUUCUUCUCUCCAUCACCAACCGGACCUCAGGACCCCGGGUGUGCAUCCAGGCUGGAGGGGUCCGCAUACAGUUUUUUCUCUGAACGGUGGGGGUGGGGGCAGGAGGGCAUUGGGAUGGAGCCGCAAAGGACUCAACUCAAGCGUUUUUCCGGAGGCCUGAGGGACCCCCAGCUGUCUGAGUCCCGCCAGUCGUCACCCCUCACCCCACCAGCAAGCAGCACCCUUGUCGGGUUCAGCUUAGAGCCACAGCCAGAGUGCGCCCCCUAGCGGGGGCUCCGAGUGGGCCGAGCCUUCCAGGUUCAGCCUCUAGGAACUGAAGUUGGCAGAUCCAAGUGAUCCUGCAGGCAUGAAUGGGAGAAAGAAAACAAAAGCUUUGCAAAC